GGUUAAUGUAAAAGAAUUUGGCAAGUUAAGAGAGAGAGAUAGAUGUCUAUUUGAUAGUAGAAGUUCUGCUUUCUCAAAAUGCAGUCCAUAUGAAUGGCCUGGUAUACCUUCUAUCUAUUUUCCAUCUUUUAACUCACAUCUCCCUCCCGCGACAGAUUUCUCAAAAUGCAGUCCAUAUGAAUGGCCUGGUAUACCUUCUAUCUAUUUUCCAUCUUUUAACUCACAUCUCCCUCCCGCGACAGACAGAUUGCAUCUGGAUGUUGGGCGCAAUUGGCAUAAUCACUUCUGCCAACCAUUUGUUC
rnacentral:lncRNA from 1 species